rfam:Anolis carolinensis unplaced genomic scaffold chrTn0094, whole genome shotgun sequence.
UUUAUCAGUCUUAAAUAUCCUGAAGGCACCAGAUGCCAUCUAAUCUUGUAAGGUAAGCAGGGUCAGCUCUGGUUAGAACUUAGAUGGGAGACCGUCAAUGAAUACUGGGUGCUGUAGGCU